rnacentral:rRNA from 1 species
CGCGUAGGCGGCUUGGCAAGUGGAAGGUGAAAUCCCUCGGCUUAACCGAGGAACUGCCCUCCAAACUGCUUCGCUUGAGACCGGGAGAGGUGAGUGGAAUUCCCAGUGUAGCGGUGAAAUGCGUAGAUAUUGGGAGGAACACCAGUGGCGAAGGCGGCUCACUGGACCGGUACUGACGCUGAUGCGCGAAAGCGUGGGGAGCAAACG